rnacentral:rRNA from 1 species
UUGGCGGACGGGUGAGAAACGCGUGGGUAAUCUACCCUUGGAUUUGGGAUAACUUCGCGAAAGUGGAGCUAAUACCGGAUAGUCUGGCUUUAGAUAUAAGGUCGGUAAAGGAUGCCUCUGCAUAUGCAUUCGUCCGAGGAUGAGCCCGCGUCUGAUUAGCUAGUUGGUGGGGUAACGGCCUACCAAGGCGAUGAUCAGUAGCCGGUCUGAGAGGAUGAACGGCCACAUUGGGACUGAGAUACGGCCCAGACUCCUACGGGAGGCAGCAGUGGGGAAUAUUGGGCAAUGGGCGAAAGCCUGACCCAGCAACGCCGCGUGAAGGAAGAAGGCCUUCGGGUUGUAAACUUCUUUUAUGAGGGACGAAGAAAGUGACGGUACCUCAUGAAUAAGCCACGGCUAACUACGUGCCAGCAGCCGCGGUAAU